GCUCAUUGGACCCGGGGGCGGUACCCGGCGCCUCCACCAAAGUAUAAUUGAAGGAAUUAUACUUUGGCGGGGGCGAAAUAGGAUCGACAAGAGUGUAAAGAUUGCUCUUUUACUCGGCAUUGUACCACCGUUAUCGGACUAAAUGAGUAGUUGCAAAUGACAACUAUGCGGAAGCACGUCUCGCCGCUUAAGCGGUGCGAAUGUUUCAAACUAAGUCUUAAUCUGUCGCAAGGUUAAGCGGGGUUCGAAGG
rnacentral:tmRNA from 1 species